GACGAACGCUGGCGGCGUGCUUAACACAUGCAAGUCGAACGGAAAGGCCCUGCUUUUGUGGGGUGCUCGAGUGGCGAACGGGUGAGUAACACGUGAGUAACCUGCCCUUGACUUUGGGAUAACUUCAGGAAACUGGGGCUAAUACCGGAUAGGAUCUCCUGCUGCAUGGUGGGGGUUGGAAAGUUUCGGCGGUUGGGGAUGGACUCGCGGCUUAUCAGCUUGUUGGUGGGGUAGUGGCUUACCAAGGCUUUGACGGGUAGCCGGCCUGAGAGGGUGACCGGCCACAUUGGGACUGAGAUACGGCCCAGACUCCUACGGGAGGCAGCAGUGGGGAAUAUUGCACAAUGGGCGGAAGCCUGAGGCAGCAACGCCGCGUGCGGGAUGACGGCCUUCGGGUUGUAAACCGCUUUCGCCUGUGACGAAGCGUGAGUGACGGUAAUGGGUAAAGAAGCACCGGCUAACUACGUG
rnacentral:rRNA from 1 species